ACAAGCAUUUCGCUACACUCGCAUUAACAUCUGCUAACCAUGUGUAUGUGACAAAUAACAUUUGAUUUGAUUUGAUUUUAACCAUGUGUAUGCUACCAAUUACAUUUUAUUUUAUUUGAACACAUGAUUAUUUAAAGACCCCGUAUCCUACACAGGCAGCCCUUACUUCAAUUCACAAAAUGUGUAUUUAUUUUUUUGGUCUUUGUCUUCCAAGAAGGGUUUCAAGUUGGUGAUACUGGACGAGGCCGAUACUAUGACCCGGGAUGCCCAGAAUGCAUUGCGGCGAGUCAUUGAGAAGUACACAGAGAACACACAUUCUGCCUGAUCUAUAACUCCAGAUGCACCAGGUUCCGUCCUGUCUCAGGACCAGAUGAUCCCCAGGCUGGAGUAUGUUAUUCAACAGGAGAGCAUUGAUAUAACUCCAGAUGGAAUAAAAGCUAUUGUGACCCUAUCAUCGGGAGACAUGAGAAGAUCACUCAACGUACUGCAGUGGACUUUCAUCCUGUUUUUCGGAUGGGUUUGCUUAUCAAGUUGGCAGAUAUUGAGUACCGGCUGGCCUCGGGACU